rnacentral:rRNA from 1 species
GACGAACGCUGGCGGCGUGCCUAAUACAUGCAAGUAGAACGCUGAAGCUUGGUGCUUGCACCGAGCGGAUGAGUUGCGAACGGGUGAGUAACGCGUAGGUAACCUGCCUGGUAUCGGGGGAUAACUAUUGGAAACGAUAGCUAAUACCGCAUAAGAGUAGAUGUUGCAUGACAUUUGCUUAAAAGGUGCAAUUGCAUCACUACCAGAUGGACCUGCGUUGUAUUAGCUAGUUGGUGAGGUAACGGCUCACCAAGGCAACGAUACAUAGCCGACCUGAGAGGGUGAUCGGCCACACUGGGACUGGGACACGGCCCAGACUCCUACGGGAGGCAGCAGUAGGGAAUCUUCGGCAAUGGACGGAAGUCUGACCGAGCAACGCCGCGUGAGUGAAGAAGGUUUUCGGAUCGUAAAGCUCUGUUGUAAGAGAAGAACGAGUGUGAGAGUGGAAAGUUCACACUGUGACGGUAUCUGACCAGAAAGGGACGGCUAACUACGUG